rnacentral:rRNA from 1 species
UGGGGAAUAUUGCACAAUGGGCGGAAGCCUGAUGCAGCGACGCCGCGUGGGGGAUGACGGCCUUUGGGUUGUAAACCUCUUUCAGUGCAGAACAAGGCUCUUUGUGGGUUGAGGGUAUGCGCAGAAGAAGCGCCGGCUAACUACGUGCCAGCAGCCGCGGUAAUACGUAGGGCGCGAGCGUUGUCCGGAUUUAUUGGGCGUAAAGAGCUCGUAGGCGGUUUGUCGCGUCUGCUGUGAAAUCCUCUGGCUUAACUGGGGGCGUGCAGCGGGUAGGGGCGGAGUGGAGUGCGGUAGGGGGGACUGGGAUUCCUGGUGUAGCGGUGGAAUGCGGAGAUAUCAGGAGGAGAACCGGUGGCGAAGGGGGGUCUCUGGGCAGUUACUGACGCUGAGGUGCGAAAGCAUGGGGGGCGAACAG